GUAUAAGUACGUGCAGACUGCCUUGGCAGUUGGAACACGUACGAAGUGCAAAUAAAUGUUAUCUGUGUCAGUAUCUAGCAAAUAGCUAACCAGAAGGUUGUUAUUUCCUCCUUGAGAGCGAGGUCUUUGUGUAAAAUUUCAAUAAAAGAGAGCUUACGAAGCUACUCGGAGUUCUCACUUUUGCAG